rnacentral:rRNA from 1 species
GACGGGGACCCGCACAAGCGGUGGAUGAUGUGGAUUAAUUCGAUGCAACGCGAAAACCUUACUACCCUUGACAUGUCCGGAAUCCUGCAGAGAGUGCGGGAGUGCCGAAAGGGAAUCGGAACACAGGUGCUGGCAUGGCUGUCGUCAGCUCGUGUCGUGAGAUGUUGGGUUAAGUCCCGCAACGAGCGCAACCCUUAUCAUUAGUUGCUACGCAAGGGCACUCUAAUGAGACUGCCGGUGACAAACCGGAGGAAGGUGGGGAUGACGUCAAGUCCUCAUGGCCCUUAUGGGUAGGGCUUCACACGUCAUACAAUGGUCGGUACAGAGGGUUGCCAAGCCGCGAGGUGGAGCCAAUCCCAGAAAGCCGAUCGUAGUCCGGAUUGUUCUCUGCAACUCGAGAGCAUGAAGUCGGAAUCGCUAGUAAUCGCGGAUCAGCAUGUCGCGGUGAAUACGUUCCCGGGUCUU